UACGAAGGGGGCUAGCGUUGCUCGGAAUCACUGGGCUUAAAGCGUGUGUAGGCGGAUGCCUAAGUACCUUGUGAAAUCCCACGGCUUAACCGUGGAACUGCUCGGUAUACUGGGUGUCUUGAGCCACUUAGGGGCUACCGGAACAAAUGGUGGAGCGGUGAAGUGCGUAGAUAUCAUUUGGAACGCCAAUGGUGAAAACAGGUAGCUGGGAGUGUGCUGACGCUGAGACACGAAAGCCAGGGGAGCGAACGGG
rnacentral:rRNA from 1 species